CGCGGUGGCUCACGCCUGUAAUCCCAGCACUUGGGGAUGCCAAGGUGGGCGGAUCACAAGGUCAGGAGUUCGAGACCAGCCUGACCAACAUGGUGAAACCCCGUCUCUACUAAAAAUACAAAAAUUAGCCGGGUGUGGUGGCACGCGUCUGUAAUCCCAGCUACUCGGGAGGCUGAGGCAGGAGAAGCGCUUGAACCCGGGAGGCAGAGGUUGCAGUGAGCCAAGAUCUCACUGCUGCACUCCAGCCUGGGCAAGAGAGGGAGAGUCUGUCUCAAAAAGAAAAAAAAAAGAAAAAAUUAGUGUAUAGCUGGCUGGGGUGGCUCAUGCCUGUAAACUUGGGAGGCUGAGGUGGGAAGAUUUCUUGAGCCCAGGAGUUCGAGGCUGCAAUGAGCUAUAAUUGAGCCACUGCACUCCAACCUGGGUGACAGAGUUAGGUCUUGAUUAAAAAAAAACAAAAAAACAACAUAGUGCCUAGUAUAUAGUAAGUGCCAAUAAAUAGUAGAUAUAAAUCCUACUUGGAUUCUAGCUCUCACAUAGCCAUGGUAUGUAGAGUAGGGAGUAUGUAGAUGUUAAUACAUCUACAUGGUAUGUAGAUAUAUUAAUAACUGACUCAAAAACAGAAGGCAGGGCUGGGCGCGCUGGCUCACGCCUGUAAUCCCAGCACUUUGGGAGGCCAAGGCAGGUGGAUCACGAGGUCAGGAGAUCGAGACCAUCCUGGCUAACAUGGUGAAACCCUGUCUCUCUACUAAAGAUACAAAAAAUUAGUCCGGUGUGGUGGCAGGCGCCUGUAGUCCCCAGCUACUCGGGAGGCUGAGACAGGAGAAUGGCAUGAACCUAGGAGGCAGAGCUUGCAGUGAGCCGAGAUCAUGCCACUGCACUCCAGCCUGGGCGACAGAGCAAGACUCCAUCUCAAAAAAAGAAAAAAAAAAAAACAAAAAGCAGAAGGCAGAAAGCAGAGCUGUGCAACAGACAUAGACUGUGAACCCCAUAUGUAAUGAAACAUUUUCUAGUAGCCACAUUAAAAAGAAACAGG
rnacentral:lncRNA from 1 species